rnacentral:sRNA from 1 species
UUUGGGACGAACUGCGGGCGGUUCAGGAAAACCACAGAGAUGUUUGUUACCUUUUAGCAGUAACUGACCCAGUGCAUUCACCUGCAGUUACUGAGAGUUACUGAGUAGAAUGGCUGCGUCGGGCACAGGAGACUGGCUUUCAAAGUGCUGCUUCAAGGAAUACUCCAUAACACACACCUGGAUAUGAGGUUAUAGAUGUGGACAAUCUCAAGGACACGGCGCUGAGUUUCACAUGUCAAGUGGCCUUUGGACAUGAGGUGGAUGCGUUACAAGAUGUCUUCUACUUGUGUUAUAACAACAAUUGCCCACUUCAAGUUAGGAGGAAAACCCUGAAUUCUCUGGCAAGCAGAGGAAGGACCAUCAGUCCAGAGAUGGUACCACCCACAGUGACCUGGGUCCUUCCACAUCCAUCACCAGUCAUGAAAAUGUCCUAUUUCCUUUGUGUGACAAAAAACAAACAGCAUAUUCUGGUACAGAACAGGACUAAUACCAGAGAGGAUGACAGAACCCCAGAAAAACCAAUCAUAGGGGGUGAUGCAUAAUUCUCAGGAGUCAGAUAGGAGGAACAAUCACGAUAAGCCUCCAGGCUGUCGUGGCAGCCAGAGAAUGCACACAGAGCCACAACAGCAUUCUUAGGAAACAGCAUCGCAGAGAAGAAAAGUUGGGUGCAAACGAGCGUUCUAUCCAGGGUGGCCCAGGUACUUCCCUUGCAGUAGCCAGGCACGGAACAUGGAACCCAAGGAAAGAUGAGGACUCUAAGAAGAGCCUCCCAUUUCCAGAGCGGGUGCUGGUGAGAAUGACUUCUGCAGCUCAUCCCUCAGUGAUGAACUGGUACCUGGAAGUGUAGGAGAAACACACUCUUCUCCCCAGGGUGCAUUUCGGUCGUGGUGUUUUAUCACAGCAGCAAACAUCCUAACUAAGACACUGGAUAUUUCAUCAUAAUUGACAUAUUUUUGUCACUGAUACAAGCACAAAAUGGCUUGAUCACCUGGAUAAAAGCCUCAGCUUUGAGAAAACCUUCUCCCCCUAAAACACUCCCUAAUAAAAGUCCUGAAUUAAUUGAUGAAUGAACUGUGACACAUCCAGACUGUGCAGGGCUAAAAACAUACAAGCUAUCGAGCCAUGGAAAGACACGAAGGAAACUUAAAUAUUGCUAAGUGAAAGAAGCCAAUCUGAAAAGGCUACAUGCUUCAUGAUUCCAAAGGUAGAACCUUCUGCAAAAGGCAAACUGAUGGGAGAGCGAAAAGACCAAUGAUUUCCAGGAGUUAAGAGGGGAGAAGGGAAGCAGUGAACAGGCAGAGCACAGAGGACUUUGAGGACAGUGGGACUACAGUAUUCUCUAUGAUGUUAUCAUGGCCCAUACUUGUCUGUAUGUACUUGUCCAAACCCAUAGCACAUACAUCAAGAGCAAGUCCUAAGGGAAACUCUGGACUUCGGGUAGUAAUGAUGUACGAAUGAAUUCAUUAAGUAUAACUAAUACAAAUUAGGGUGUGUGUGUGUG